rnacentral:rRNA from 1 species
CUCAGAACUUAAAGGAAUUGACGGGGCCGCACAAGCGGUGGAGUAUGUGGUUUAAUUCGAUGCAACGCGAAGAACCUUACCUGGUCUUGACAUCCCGGAGACCCUUAGGAAACUAGGGGGUGCUUCCAUCUGGAAGAAUCUGGAGACAGGUGCUGCAUGGCUGUCGUCAGCUCGUGUCGUGAGAUGUUGGGUUAAGUCCCGCAACGAGCGCAACCCUUGCCUUUAGUUGCCAGCAGUUCGGCUGGGCACUCUAAAGGGACUGCCGGUGUUAAACCGGAGGAAGGUGGGGAUGACGUCAAGUCCUCAUGGCCUUUAUGACCAGGGCUACACACGUACUACAAUGGCCGAUACAAAGGGCAGCGACACUGCGAGGUGAAGCCAAUCCCGUAAAAUCGGUCUCAGUCCGGAUUGGAGUCUGCAACUCGACUCCAUGAAGUUGGAAUCGCUAGUAAUCGUGGAUCAGCAUGCCACGGUGAAUACGUUCCCGGGCCUU